GACUCUUAGCUUCUCAAGAAAAGUAACCGGGACCUGGUGUCUGCUCCUGUUGCCUUUGCCUCUUGUUCCCUAGUCACUAUGCGUGAGCACAUCUCCAUCCACGUUGGCCAGGCUCAUGGCCAGAUUGAUAAUCCCUGCUUAGAGCUCUGCUGCCUGGAACAUGGCAUCCAGCCCGAUGGCCAGAUGCCAAGUGACAAGACCACUGGGGGAGAUGACUCCUUUGACAUCAGUGAGACAGGUGCUGGCAAGCAUAUGCCCAGGGCAGUGUUUAUAGACCUGGAGCCCACAUUCAUUGACAAAGUUCACAUUGCCAUCUACCACCAGCUCUUCCACCCUGAGCAGCUCAUCACAGGCAAGGAAGAUGCUGCCAAUAACUAUGCCCAAGGGCACUAUAUUAUUGGCAAGGAGAUCAUUGGCUUCAUGUUGGAUCAAAUUCUCAAGCCGGCCAACCAGUGCACAAGUCUUCAGGGCUUCUUGGUUUUCCAUAGCUUUGGUUGGGGAACUGGUUCUGGGUUCACCUCCCUGCUGAUAGAAUGUCUCUCUGUUCAUUAUGGCAAGAAGUCCAAGUUGGAGUUCAUUUACUCAGUGUCCCAGGUUUCCACAGCUGUAGUUGAGCCCUAUAACUCCAUCCUCACCACCCACACUACCCUGCAGCGCUCUGAGUGUGCCUUUGUGGUAGACAUCUGUCAUAGAAACCUCAAUAUUGAGUGCUCAACCUACACUAACUGCCUUGUUCUUCAGAUUAUGCCCUCUAUCACUGCUUCCCCCAGAGUUGAUGGCUCCCUGAAUGCUGAUCUGACAGAAUUCCAGACCAACUUGGUGCCUAUCCCCACGUCCACUUUUUUCUGGCCACAUAUGCCCCUGUUUUCUCUGCUGAGAAAGCCUAUCAUGAACAGCUUUCUGUAGCAGAGAUCAUCAAUGCUUGAUUUGAGCCAGCCAACCAGAUGAUGAAAUAUGACCCUCGCCAUAACAAAUGAUGGCUUCCUGCCUGUUGCACUGUGGUGACACCAUAAAGAUGUCAAUGCUGCUGUUACCACCAUCAAGACCAAGCACAAUAUCCAGUUUGUGCAUUGGUGUCCCACUGGUUUCAAGGUUGGCAUUAAUUACCAGCUUCCCAUGGUGGUACCUGAUGAAGACCUGGCCAAGGUACAGAGAGCUGUGUGCAUGCUGGGCAAUACCACAGCCAUUGCUGAGGCCUGGGCUCACCUGGACCACAAGUUUUGACGUGGUGUAUGCCAACCAUGCCUUUGUUCACUGGUACAUUCAUGAGGGGGUAGAAGAAGGGUUUUCUGAGGCCCAUGGGGACAUAGCUGCCCUUGAGAAGGUUUUUGAGGAGGUCGGUAUAGAUUCUGUUAAAGGAGACAGCAAGAAAGAAGGAGAGAAAUAUUAA